UAAUGAUGUCGGAAAUGGUAGGCUAUCAAACAAAAUAGAAAUGGUUAAGUGUGGCUAUAUAGAUAUGGUCCUUCAGGCAACAAGCAAUGCUUUUACAAACCCAAAAUGAAUUUCAAUCACUCUUUUUUUUUUUCAAUUUCGAUUUUUUUUCUUCUUUUUUUUAAUUCCGAAUUUUUUUCUUCCUUUUUUUUCUUCAAUACUAAAUACAAAUAGUAAAAAUAAAUUGAAUACAAACUUUUUUUUUGAAUUUUUUUUUCGAAUUUUUUUUUCAAGUUUUUUUUUAUUUUUUUACAAUACCGUAAUACCAAUAACGUCGAUCUUACUCCGAUUCAGCUAGCUCUGAUACCAAAUGAUGCGAUCCGGCCUCGGUGAU
rnacentral:lncRNA from 1 species